rnacentral:rRNA from 1 species
CGACCACUCCGGAGGAAGGACGUAAUGGUAGGCUGAAGUCCGAAUAUUGUACAAGUGUGCCAGAAGAUCGGUGAAAGGAAAAAUAAUGAUACCACUUUUCUAUCAGUUUCGCCCAACACUGGUACCAGAAGACUCGGUAAUGCCAGAGACGCAAGCAUUUCUCAUCUUGAUCAGGCGUCAAGGGUUUUUAGGCUGCUUUAUAAAUAUAAAAAUAAUAAUAAAGCUAGAAUCAUAUAGAGGUCACCGUCAGAUAACUCUUGGAGUAGGGUUGACAUCCGAAAAUACUAAGGGGAAUUCUAAUUAGCGAAGGCUCUUUUCCAAAUAAUGAUUGACGCUGAGAAACGAAGGUGAGGAUCGACAAUAGGAUUAGAUACCCUGGCAUCCCUCUCUGUCAACGAUAAAUGGUGGUUGCUAGUUUAAUAGAGCUAGUGGCGAUAUUCACACGUUAACCAUUCCGCCGUGUG